rnacentral:rRNA from 1 species
AGUGAACGCUGGCGGUAGGCCUAACACAUGCAAGCCGAACGGCAGCACAGAGGAGCUUGCUCCUUGGGUGGCGAGUGGCGGACGGGUGAGGAAUACAUCGGAAUCUACUCUGUCGUGGGGGAUAACGUAGGGAAACUUACGCUAAUACCGCAUACGACCUACGGGUGAAAGCAGGGGACCUUCGGGCCUUGCGCGAUUGAAUGAGCCGAUGUCGGAUUAGCUAGUUGGCGGGGUAAAGGCCCACCAAGGCGACGAUCCGUAGCUGGUCUGAGAGGAGGAUCAGCCACACUGGAACUGAGACACGGUCCAGACUCCUACGGGAGGCAGCAGUGGGGAAUAUUGGACAAUGGGCGCAAGCCUGAUCCAGCCAUACCGCGUGGGUGAAGAAGGCCUUCGGGUUGUAAAGCCCUUUUGUUGGGAAAGAAAUCCAGCUGGCUAAUACCCGGUUGGGAUGACGGUACCCAAAGAAUAAGCACCGGCUAACUUCGUGCCAGCCGCCGCGGUAA